UGGUUGCGUGGUAAGAAUCUUGCUUUUCAACUAGAUGGUUUUGGAGUUCAGUCCCAUCGUGUGGCACUUGGGCAAGCGUCUUCUACUAUAGCUUCAGGCUAACCAAAGCCUUGUGAAAGGAUUUGGUAGAGGAAAACUGAAAGAAGCCCAUCAUGUGUGUGUGUG